AGAGUUUGAUCAUGGCUCAGAUUGAACGCUGGCGGCAGGCUUAACACAUGCAAGUCGAGCGGUAACAGAUCUAGCUUGCUAGAUGCUGACGAGCGGCGGAGGGGUGAGUAACGCAUGGGAAUCUGCCCGAUAGAGGGGGAUAGCCCGGGGAAACCCGGAUUAAUACCGCAUAAACCCUACGGGGAAAAGCAGGGGAUCUUCGGACCUUGCGCUCUUCCGGACCUUGCGCUAUCGGAUGAGCCCAUGUCGGAUUAGCUAGUUGGUGAGGUAAGAGCUCACCAAGGCGACGAUCCGUAGCUGGUCUGAGAGGAUGAUCAGCCACACUGGGACUGAGACACGGCCCAGACUCCUACGGGAGGCAGCAGUGGGGAAUAUUGCACAAUGGGCGCAAGCCUGAUGCAGCCAUACGGCGUGUGUGAAGAAGGCUCUAGGGUCGUAAAGCACUUUAAGCAGGGAGGAAAGGAUUGUAGUUAAUAGCUACGAUCUGUGACGUUACCUGCAGAAUAAGCACCGGCUAACUCCGUGCCAGCAGCCGCGGUAAUACGGAGUGUGCAAGCGUUAAUCGGAAUUACUGGGCGUAAAGCGCGCGUAGGCGUAUUGUAGGUGGGAUGUGAAAGCCCCGGGCUCAACCUGGGACUGCACCCAAACUGGCAAGCUAAAUGCGGAAAAAGAAUGUGAUUCCUGUGUACGGUGAAAUGCUGAAUUUGAAGGACCCCAUGGCAGCAACCUUGUCUGACUGACCUAGUCAAAGCUGGGGACACAGGACCUGGUAGUCCACGCCGUAAACGAUGUCAACUAGCCGUUGGAGGGCUUGUCCCUUUAGUGGCGCAGCUAAAGCGAUAAGUUGACCGCCUGGGGAGUACGGCCGCAAGGUUAAAACUCAAAUGAAUUGACGGGGGCCCGCACAAGCGGUGGAGCAUGGGUUUAAUUCGAUGCAACGCGAAGAACCUUACCAGGUCUUGACAUCCCGAGAAUUUACUAGAGAUAGUUUAGUGCCUUCGGGAACUCGGUGACAGGUGCUGCAUGGCUGUCGUCAGCUCGUGUCGUGAGAUGUUGGGUUAAGUCCCGUAACGAGCGCAACCCUUGUCCUUAGUUGCCAGCACGUAAUGGUGGGAACUCUAAGGAGACUGCCGGUGACAAACCGGAGGAAGGUGGGGACGACGUCAAGUCAUCAUGGCCCUUACGACCUGGGCUACACACGUGCUACAAUGGGCGGUACAAAGGGUUGCCAAGCCGCGAGGUGGAGCUAAUCCCAUAAAACCGUUCGUAGUCCGGAUUGGAGUCUGCAACUCGACUCCAUGAAGUCGGAAUCGCUAGUAAUCGUGAAUCAGAACGUCACGGUGAAUACGUUCCCGGGCCUUGCACACACCGCCCGUCACACCAUGGGAGUGGGUUGCUCCAGAAGUGGCUAGUCUAACCUUCGGGAGGACGGUCACCACGGAGUGAUUCAUGACUGGGGUGAAGUCGUAACAAGGUAGCCGUA
rnacentral:rRNA from 1 species